CCAUGAAUCACCUGGGGAUCUUGUUAAAAUGUAGAUUUUGAUUCAGUAUGUCUGGAGCAGGGUCCAGGAUUCUGCCUAACAAGAUCCCAGGUGAUACUAUG
rnacentral:miRNA from 1 species